UGGGGAAUUUUGGACAAUGGGGGAAACCCUGAUCCAGCCAUCCCGCGUGUGCGAUGAAGGCCUUCGGGUUGUAAAGCACUUUUGGCAGGAAAGAAACGUCGCGGGUUAAUACCCCGCGAAACUGACGGUACCUGCAGAAUAAGCACCGGCUAACUACGUGCCAGCAGCCGCGGUAAUACGUAGGGUGCAAGCGUUAAUCGGAAUUACUGGGCGUAAAGCGUGCGCAGGCGGUUCGGAAAGAAAGAUGUGAAAUCCCAGAGCUUAACUUUGGAACUGCAUUUUUAACUACCGGGCUAGAGUGUGUCAGAGGGAGGUGGAAUUCCGCGUGUAGCAGUGAAAUGCGUAGAUAUGCGGAGGAACACCGAUGGCGAAGGCAGCCUCCUGGGAUAACACUGACGCUCAUGCACGAAGGCGUGGGGAGCAAACAGGAUUAGAUACCCUGGUAGUCCACGCCCUAAACGAUGUCAACUAGCUGUUGGGGCCUUCGGGCCUUGGUAGGCGCAGCUAACGCGUGAAGUUGACCGCCUGGGGAGUA
rnacentral:rRNA from 1 species